UACGUAGGGUGCAAGCGUUAUCCGGAAUUAUUGGGCGUAAAGAGCUCGUAGGCGGUUUUGUCGCGUCUGCUGUGAAAACUGGAGGCUCAACCUCCAGCUUGCAGUGGGUACGGGCAAACUAGAGUGCGGUAGGGGGAGAUUGGAAUUCCUGGUGUAGCGGUGGAAUGCGCAGAUAUCAGGAGGAACACCGAUGGCGAAAGGCAGAUCUCUGGGCCGUAACUGACGCUGAGGAGCGAAAGCAUGGGGAGCGAACAGG
rnacentral:rRNA from 1 species